rnacentral:rRNA from 1 species
UACGUAGGGGGCAAGCGUUGUCCGGAUUUAUUGGGCGUAAAGAGCGUGUAGGCGGCCAGGUAGGUCAGCUGUGAAAACUCGAGGCUUAACCUCGAGACGCCGGCUGAAACCCUCUGGCUAGAGUCCGGAAGAGGAGAGUGGAAUUCCUGGUGUAGCGGUGAAAUGCGUAGAUAUCAGGAGGAACACCGGUGGCGAAAGCGCUCAUCUGGCCCAAUACUGACGCUGAGGCGCGAAAGCUAGGGGAGCAAACGGG